GGAACGAAAAUCAACAUUACGAGACCAGGAAGAGCUAAAGCCAAAGCCCAUUCAGCCCAAGUCAUGUUUAGACCAGUGAUUUUAGUAACAAAAUCCAAAGCCAACACGUUAGGAGCCAUAGCUGUUAAGAACAUAAAGGAUGUAAUUUUUGUUACGAAAUAGCCAUUCAUCAAGAUGAAGGAACCACCACGUUUAGCAGUAUCGCCAGGAUAAGAACCGAUGGAUUCAGCGAUUGAUAAA
rnacentral:antisense_RNA from 1 species